GCCGGGCGCAGUGGCACGUGCCUGUAGUCCCAGCUACUCAGGAGGCUGAGGUGGAAGGAACUCUUGAGCCCAGGAGUUCUGGGCUGUAGUGCACUAUGCCGAUCGGGUAUCCGCACUAAGUUUGGCAUCAAUAUGGUGACCUCCUGGGAGCAGGGGACCAUCAGGUUGCCUAAGAAGGGGUGAACCGGCCCAGGUCGGAAACGGAGCAGGCCAAAAGCCCCGUGCUGAUCAGUAGUGGGAUCACUCCUGUGAAUAGCCACUGCACUCCAGCCUGGGCAACAUAGGGAGACCCUGUCUCUU
ensembl:misc_RNA Metazoa_SRP Metazoan signal recognition particle RNA